GGGUCGGGUCGAAAUCUCUUGCACAGUCUUCUUCUUCUUAAGCGAUCUGAAAUGGUAUUCCAUUGUUUCUCUCUAAUUUGGAUUUGAGUUAAUUUAAUUUAAUAUUGGUUACAGAGUCUCUUUGGUUUGUUUAUUAUUGGGUAUACGAUUAUAACUUUAUAUUAUUAACGGAACACUUUCUUUGCACCAAUGCAAGGGAAAUGAUGCGCUUUGAUAUUAAUAAUCUCAUUCAUUUUGUGAGUUGUGUUGUUCCAGAGCGGCUGCAAAACUUACCAUAAUAAUAGGGAUUAAUCUCAUUCAAUGUUGUUAUGCUUGAUUUCCAUCAUAUAGGUUUGUGGGACAGUUCUUAUGCACUUAUAGCACCCUACCAAUGUAUGCACUCGAUACGCAGAUAGAAGAGUUAUGUGAUAGUGUGAUGAUACAUAGAAGGUUUUUGAUCUCUAUGUAUACCUCUGGAUAGUUGGUUUUGCGCUGAUGAAUAGAACAUAACAGGAAUUGGUAAUGUUGAUUCAUUUCUAGUACUGUUGGUGAAGGAAGUUGAUAUGGGAACAGUAAAAAUAUUUUUAGGUUUUUUAUGUUAUUAGUGUGUUUGGUGAUUGUAAUAACUCAAUACGGUGGUUGAUGAAACCAUAUUAAUAAUGUCUUGGCUAUUGUAUCUGGAUAAUUAAUAUGUAGUGUGUCUGUCUGCUUGGGACAAAAAAAUUGACUAAUAACAUGUUUAUGUAGUAGUUCUUGACACAAUAUGGAUUUAUUGAUACUUCUGUUCCUACUAGAAUAUGAUGGUAAAAUUUUGGUCGCUGCUCUUUUGAACAUUAGUGUGUGCAAACAUCUUGCAGUACUUACACAUAACAUAACAAGCUUUAGUUGCAGCAGCAUUCAUGGAAAGCAAGCUAAUACUACAACAUCAUGAACUGAUCUUCUUCUUCAAGGCAAGGCAAAGCGACAUGAAUAUAGAAAAUGUACCCGCUGCUAACAUCCAAGGUGUGUGCAAAAGUAUUCGGGGCAUCAGGGGGUUUGCCAUCACUACAUCCUGUGGUGAAACAGGAUCAUAAGCGGGCCCCUAUUACUGUUGUUGCCUCUACGGUCCAAGCCAAGAUUAAGGACAUCACUAACAACUCACCAGCAUAAAAGUUCCCAAUGGAAAUAAAGCACAGGUCAAAUAGGAAGGUAUUACUCUCUUUUCCUUAAAUGAGAUCAUUGGCACCACCACAGAAGAGCUGAGCUGGUACUUAAGGCAAGACAGGAGGAGGGCGGUUCUUAAACAUGGUGGGCAGCCACGUGACACUUCUCUGUUCUAAAAGUUCAAUCAAAGUUGGACUUUCAAUAUAUAGUAAAUAAUAAUUCAUGGGGCAAUGCAUUGAUAACUUCUUAUACAGUUUUAGUGAUGUAUCAUGUGAACUAUAUUUAUACAACUCCUUUCAAAUGUAUUGGUUAAAAUGAAUCUUCACAAGAAGAGGAUGGAGAACAAUCGCCUUGCUACGCCCGACCGCCUAGGCACGUGCGCCUUUUGAGCUUUUGACAACUAUGACCCAUUCAAAAAAUACCCAUUUAACCCGUUUCCCAACACGUGUUUUACACAGGUGAAAUUACAUUUCACAGAAAAGGCCUUAAGGUUAAUUGGUUAAGAACACCGGUGCUAGAGGGUUAAGAGCCAUACUUGAAACGCUUCUAACCGACGCUAUGUAUGAGAUUCCAGAUGUCAAGACGGGAAAUGAUCGAUGAAGAGUCGGUUCGGUCAGUUGAUAAACCGGGAUGUGGGGGAAAAAUUCUUCGUGGUGGUGACGGUGCAUUAGAUGAUUGAUUAUCUAGCAAAGACCAAGUGUAAGGAA